CAGGAACCGUCCAAACGUUAUUCGGAAUCAUUGGGCUUAAAGGGUGCGUAGGCGGCGCCUUAAGUCGGGUGUGAAAUCCCUCGGCUCAACCGAGGAAUUGCGCCCGAUACUGGGGUGCUCGAGGGAGACAGGGGUGAGCGGAACUGAUGGUGGAGCGGUGAAAUGCGUUGAUAUCAUCAGGAACACCGGUGGCGAAAGCGGCUCACUGGGUCUCUUCUGACGCUGAGGCACGAAAGCCAGGGUAGCGAACGGG
rnacentral:rRNA from 1 species